UACAGAGGGUGCAAGCGUUUGUUCGGAAUUAUUGGGCGUAAAGCGCGUGUAGGCGGCUUUGCAAGUCGGGUGUGAAAGCCCUCAGCUCAACUGAGGAAGUGCGCUCGAAACUGCAGAGCUUGAGUACCGGAGAGGGUGGCGGAAUUCCCCAAGUAGAGGUGAAAUUCGUAGAGAUGGGGAGGAACACCGGUGGCGAAGGCGGCCAACCUGGACGGAUACUGGACGCUGAGACGCGAAAGCGUGGGUAGCAAACAGG
rnacentral:rRNA from 1 species